CACCGUGGGCCUUCGGGCCCGCGUAUAUUUACUCUGAAUGUGUAUAGAAUGUAAACCAUUUGUUUGCCCUGAAAAAGCAAACGAAAAAAAAUACAACUUUCAACAACGGAUCUCUUGGCUCUCGCAUCGAUGAAGAACGCAGCGAAAUGCGAUAAGUAAUGUGAAUUGCAGAUUUUCAGUGAAUCAUCGAAUCUUUGAACGCACCUUGCGCCCCUUGGUAUUCCGAGGGGCAUGCCUGUUUGAGUGUCAUUAAAUCCUCAACCGCGCCGAUUGAUUUCGGUGGGGCUUGGACUUUGGAGCGUGCUGGCGAAGGUCGGCUCCUCUUUAAAUGCAUCAGCGGAAGAAACCUUUGUCUUUCCUGCC
rnacentral:misc_RNA from 1 species